rnacentral:piRNA from 1 species
UAACCUUGGAGAGAUAUCUUUGUGAUGGU